AACGCUGGCGGCGUGCCUAAUACAUGCAAGUAGAACGCUGAAGGAGGAGCUUGCUUCUCUGGAUGAGUUGCGAACGGGUGAGUAACGCGUAGGUAACCUGCCUGGUAGCGGGGGAUAACUAUUGGAAACGAUAGCUAAUACCGCAUAAUAGCAGUUAUUGCAUGAUAACUGUUUGAAAGGUGCAAAUGCAUCACUACCAGAUGGACCUGCGUUGUAUUAGCUAGUUGGUGGGGUAACGGCUCACCAAGGCGACGAUACAUAGCCGACCUGAGAGGGUGAUCGGCCACACUGGGACUGAGACACGGCCCAGACUCCUACGGGAGGCAGCAGUAGGGAAUCUUCGGCAAUGGACGGAAGUCUGACCGAGCAACGCCGCGUGAGUGAAGAAGGUUUUCGGAUCGUAAAGCUCUGUUGUAAGAGAAGAACGAGUGUGAGAGUGGAAAGUUCACACUGUGACGUAUCUACCAGAAA
rnacentral:rRNA from 1 species